AAAUGAAUACAUGUACAUGUAGUUCAAAUCCAAGAAAAAAUAUCCAACAACAAGAACAACAUCCUUACUCAACCUUAGAUUUUGUCGCUCCUUAACACACUAUAAAGAAAAAAAUAAGUUGUUCAGAGUUCAAACGGAUGUAAUCACUUAUUAAAGUUAUUUCUCAUUUUGUUGUUUUUUGUUGUGCGUAACUCCAAAACAGUAUAAAUAGGAGAACGUUUAAGUCAUUUUCACAUUAAAAGAUAGAGACAGCCAUUACUUUACUUGGACAUUUUUUGGUAAUCGAAUUAAACAAGGAUGAAGGCUUAUAUACUUAUUUCCUUUGUGUUAUUAUCCGCCAUGUUGAUGACGUCAGAAGGCAAUCGGGUGUCAGUUAAGUGCAGAGCUGAGUGUAUGGAUGUCUACAACGUGUGCGCAGGUGCCUGCAAAAAUGGUUUCUUUGACAUGCCAGAAACUUGUGAAGGAAGGCCGUGCCGUAACACACUUCGGGACUGCUUUGUUACAAAAUGCGGUUUUUCAGAACAAUAGGAAAGAUAGUCAAUUGAAUUUGUUACAGUGAAUUGGAGUUCUUUGAUAACUAUUUUAUUGACAAAAUUAACAAUUACAUUCUCGUCAGUAUUUAAUAAAGUGCCAACAAUUCCAUUGCCAUAUGAUUUCUGUCUAAAAAAAUG